rfam:Gossypium raimondii Chr03_contig_655, whole genome shotgun sequence.
UGUUAAAUAUUCCAUCUAUUUGUACGAUUAAAAAUUAUUGGCAUGACUGAUAGAAUAGCCAGAUAAUGUGAAGUGCCAUGUAUAUUUCAUGCUGACAUACAAAAACUAAUUUUUAACAACAAAAAUGGAUAAAAUUUUUAAUA